rnacentral:rRNA from 1 species
CACAUGCAAGUCGAACGGUAACAGGUUAAGCUGACGAGUGGCGAACGGGUGAGUAAUAUAUCGGAACGUGCCCAGUCGUGGGGGAUAACUGCUCGAAAGAGCAGCUAAUACCGCAUACGACCUGAGGGUGAAAGCGGGGGAUCGCAAGACUCGCGCGAUUGGAGCGGCGAUAUCAGAUUAGGUAGUUGGUGGGGUAAAAGCCCACCAAGCCAACGAUCUGUAGCUGGUCUGAGAGGACGACCAGCCACACUGGGACUGAGACACGGCCCAGACUCCUACGGGAGGCAGCAGUGGGGAAUUUUGGACAAUGGACGCAAGUCUGAUCCAGCCAUGCCGCGUGCGGGAAGAAGGCCUUCGGGUUGUAAACCGCUUUUGUCAGGGAAGAAACGGCUUUUUCUAAUACAGAGAGCUAAUGACGGUACCUGAAGAAUAAGCACCGGCUAACUACGUGCCAGCAGCCGCGGUAAUACGUAGGGUGCAAGCGUUAAUCGGAAUUACUGGGCGUAAAGCGUGCGCAGGCGGUUAUGCAAGACAGAUGUGAAAUCCCCGGGCUCAACCUGGGAACUGCAUUUGUGACUGCAUAGCUAGAGUACGGUAGGGGGGGAUGGAAUUCCGCGUGUAGCAGUGAAAUGCGUAGAUAUGCGGAGGAACACCGAUGGCGAAGGCAAUCCCCCUGGACCUGUACUGACGCUCAUGCACGAAAGCGUGG